AUGUAAGUUUUUGCAUGAGUAAUUAUUUAUUUUAAUAAUAGGUGAGUUUUACUAUACCCGCAGUAAGUAGCAUUAUAAAUUUAAGGUAACUUAGAUGUAGCUAUCCUGUAAGUGUUGGCUAAAUUUGUGCCAGCAGCCGCGGUUACACGAAUGACACAAAUAAAUUUUUGUCGGAGUAAGUUAGACUGUUGUAUAUGGAUUUAAUGUAGACUUAUUAGGUGAAAUUUUUAAGUCUAUAAAAAUUUAUUUUUUAUGUGUUGUUGAAGCUAGGAAAUUUUAUUAAUAAACUAGGAUUAGAUACCCUAUUAUUUGAAAUGUAGAAAAUAGAGGCUUUUAGGUAGUAGUAGUUAUGUUCUUGAAACUUAAAAAAUUUGGCGGUAUUUUAGUCUGUUCAGAGGAACCUGUCCUGUAAUCGAUAGUCCACGUUGGAUCUUACUCAAGUUUGUUAAAGUUUAUAUACCGUCGUUAUCAGAAUAUUUUAUUAGAAUAAUAAUUUUCUUUAGUUUUUAAAAAAAUGUAUAUCAGAUCAAGGUGUAGCUUAUGUUUGAGUAGAGAUGGGUUACAAUAAAUAAAUAUAUUUAUACGGAUUGGGAAGUGUAAUUUUUCUAUGAAGGUGGAUUUGAUAGUAAAAUUAUAAAGAUAGUUGGUUUGAUUUUAGCUCUAAAAUAUGCACACAUCGCCCGUCGCUCUUGCUAGUAAGGUAAGAUAAGUCGUAACAUAGUAGAUGUACUGGAAAGUGUAUCUAGAAUG
rnacentral:ncRNA from 1 species